CAGUGUUAAUAUUGCAGUGGAAACACCUGUUCCCAUUCCGAACACAGAAGUUAAGCACUGUGAAGCCGAAGGUAGUGAAAGCAAGAAUAGGAAGAUGCUGCUCU
rnacentral:rRNA from 2 species